rnacentral:rRNA from 1 species
UGGCUAACUGGAGUACAGGAGAGGAAAGUGGAAUUCCCAGUGUAGAGGUGAAAUUCAUAGAUAUUGGGAGGAACACCGGUAGCGAAGGCGGCUUUCUGGCCUGAUACUGACGCUGAGACGCGAAAGCGUGGGUAGCAAACAGGAUUAGAUACCCUGGUAGUCCACGCCGUAAACGAUGGGAACUAGGUGUAGGAAGUGUUGACCCUUUCUGUGCCGAAGCUAACGCAUUAAGUUCCCCGCCUGGGGAGUACGGUCGCAAGGCCAAAACUCAAAGGAAUUGACGGGGGCCCGCACAAGCGGUGGAGCAUGUGGUUUAAUUCGACGCUACGCGAAAAACCUUACCUGGGCUUGACAUGCUGGGAUUAUUCCUGAGAAAUCAGGAGGAUUGCCUUCGGGUGUAACCAGCACAGGUGCUGCAUGGCUGUCGUCAGCUCGUGUCGUGAGAUGUUGGGUUAAGUCCCGCAACGAGCGCAACCCUCGCUUUUAGUUGCCAUCAUUAAGUUGGGCACUCUAAAGGAACUGCCCCGGUUAACGGGGAGGAAGGUGAGGAUGACGUCAAGUCCUCAUGGCCCUUAUGCCCAGGGCUACACACGUGCUACAAUGGUUUGUACAAAGGGAAGCGAGCUCGCAAGAGUAAGCCAAUCCCAAAAAACAAGCCUAAGUUCGGAUUGAAGUCUGCAACUCGACUUCAUGAAGUUGGAAUCGCUAGUAAUCCCAUAUCAGCAUGAUGGGGUGAAUACGUUCCCGGGCCUUGUACACACCGCCCGU